rnacentral:lncRNA from 1 species
UCUCUCUCUAAAAUUUCUCUCUCCUCCUUUCUCUCUCUAAGAAAGAUCUAUAGAUCUUAUGACGGGCCAUCCUUUUCUCUUUUAGGGAUCCAUGUUGACCUCAGUGAGAUGACUCUUAAUCGAUUUAGUAUCCGGAUGGUCUAUCAAACUGAUCAUCCAGUCAACCACUUUUUUUUAUUAUUUAAUUUUAUUGAAUAUA